rnacentral:rRNA from 1 species
CCUACGGGAGGCAGCAGUGAGGAAUAUUGGUCAAUGGGCGUAAGCCUGAACCAGCCAAGUCGCGUGAGGGAUGAAGGUUCUAUGGAUCGUAAACCUCUUUUAUAAGGGAAUAAAGUGCGGGACGUGUCCCGUUUUGUAUGUACCUUAUGAAUAAGGAUCGGCUAACUCCGUGCCAGCAGCCGCGGUAAUACGGAGGAUCCGAGCGUUAUCCGGAUUUAUUGGGUUUAAAGGGUGCGUAGGUGGGUUGUUAAGUCAGUUGUGAAAGUUUGCGGCUCAACCGUAAAAUUGCAAUUGAUACUGGCAGUCUUGAGUAUAGUUGAGGUAGGCGGAAUGCGUGGUGUAGCGGUGAAAUGCAUAGAUAUCACGCAGAACCCCGAUUGCGAAGGCAGCCUUCCGGCGCCCUACUGACGCUGAGGCACGAAAGUGUGGGGAUCGAACAGGAUUAGAUACCCGUGUAGUC